UUUACAUUACCAAAAAAGGGAACGGUUUUGGCCAAGGUCGUCAUGAGAUAAUGCUAAGUUAACAAAACAACGAGGAUUAACCAAACAAAAUCAUUCACCACGUCGACUCUAAUAGAAUUCCGCGCCGAAGUGGCACCAUCUGAGCGACAGCUAAUCAACCAAGAAUAGAAAAUGCAUCAACAGCAUCUUUGAAAAUGCUUUCCAAGCACAUAUUUGACGCAUUAAUCAUCUCGAAACUGCUUUGUUGGCACGUUUUUUUGGACAAGGAAACGUGCUUACUUUGCGAAAGUAAAAACCCGCCAAAACAAAUCAGCUGUAUCAUCCUUGAGGAAUUCAUUGGCGCUUAGCACGUGCAGAAGACCAGCUGAAGGUUGACGGGUGCGUGUUCAGAAACAAAUAAUGCGUCAAAUCACAGAGAGAGGAGAAAGUGACCACACAGCAGUUUACUUUAAUUUCCAUGCUACGAUUCUAAACCCGCCACAAGCGACGCAUGAAGUUCGGUAAACGGAGACAACAUGACCCCUGCGCAAUUUUCACCGUCUUUUAACAGUGUGUUCUUAUGGUUGUUACAAGAAUCAGUGAUGGAGAGAUUCUAAAUUUUGCGUCUAAAGUAUUUCGAACAUAGAUCACAGGGGUAAGUCCCACGAUCGAUUGCGUUGCAACCGAACUACACCGUGUUCCGCCCUUGAAAUCGACACAUGCUGUGAAAACCACAAGGAUCGUGAACACGUAGCUCAAAAACAUGGAAAUAUUCUGCGGUGAAACCAAGGGGAUUUCAGCGCAGCAAAGUCUCUACUUCUAAGGAUAUUGCAAAUACUGCGUCGUACAAUGACGUUAAAAGAGGUUUAAAACUUUAGUAUCAAACAUGCCUAGCGGAACUUCUGGAGCAAGUGGAUACACGACUUCUGACGCGGGGUAUUCUACAGGGGGAUAUUAUCAAGACAGAGACAGAGAUAAUUGUUGUGGCUGUUCCUCGAGUUGCACGAUUCUCUGACACAAGAGAUGAGGGUGCAUAAUACUGUGACAAAAAAGGUAAGCUUGACUUAGUUUAUAUGCUACUGUCGCACACGAAAGCUCAUUUUCGCGCCUUCCCCUGAUAUUUAAGAUAACACUUGAUAUAUGCUACAAGAAACAAAAUGAUCAAAGAGGGUAAGUUUCUAAAGAAACUGCGGUGCUGCGUCGGUGGGAGAGUAUAACAGGUUAAUUUAGUGUUAAGAACUGAGUUGAGAACGUAAAUUGGCCACCGUAACGAGUUAAAAGGCUGACGUUUCGAGCGUUAGUCCUUCGUCAGAGCGAUAGAAGAAAAGCUCUUCGUUUGAGCGAUAGAGGAAGAGCUCUUCGUCAGAGCGAUGCAAGAAACUAGGCGACAACAGUCAGGAGAAAAAAUAUCCAAAAGCAGAAAAAUCCAAGCAAAAUAGUCCGAAUGUUGAGUCGAAAGAUGGGAAAAACAACUAAAUGUAAAUAAGGACUGUUUCAUUACUGCGUUAUUUUAGCAUUUGCCUUUCGAUCGCUAACAUCUUUUGAGUCUGUGU